rnacentral:rRNA from 1 species
UACAGAGGGGGCAAGCGUUGUUCGGAAUUACUGGGCGUAAAGGGCGCGUAGGCGGCCUUCUAAGUCGAACGUGAAAUCCCCGGGCUCAACCCGGGAACUGCGUCCGAUACUGGAAGGCUUGAAUCCGGGAGAGGGAUGCGGAAUUCCAGGUGUAGCGGUGAAAUGCGUAGAUAUCUGGAGGAACACCGGUGGCGAAGGCGGCAUCCUGGACCGGCAUUGACGCUGAGGCGCGAAAGCUAGGGGAGCGAACAGG